rnacentral:rRNA from 1 species
UGGGGAAUAUUGGACAAUGGGGGCAACCCUGAUCCAGCCAUGCCGCGUGAAUGAAGAAGGCCUUAGGGUUGUAAAGUUCUUUCAACGGUGACGAUGAUGACGGUAGCCGUAGAAGAAGCCCCGGCUAACUCCGUGCCAGCAGCCGCGGUAAUACGGAGGGGGCAAGCGUUGUUCGGAAUUACUGGGCGUAAAGGGCGCGCAGGCGGCGUUGUUAGUCAGAUGUGAAAUCCCCGGGCUCAACCUGGGAACUGCAUUUGAUACUGCGAUGCUAGAGUUCGGGAGAGGGUAGUGGAAUUCCCAGUGUAGAGGUGAAAUUCGUAGAUAUUGGGAAGAACACCAGUGGCGAAGGCGGCUACCUGGACCGAUACUGACGCUGAGGCGCGAAAGCGUGGGGAGCAAACAGGAUUAGAUACCCCCGUAGUCC